rnacentral:rRNA from 1 species
UACGUAGGGACCUAGCGUUGUCCGGAAUCAUUGGGCGUAAAGCGCGUGUAGGCGGCUUGCCAAGUCCGGUGUGAAAACUGGGGGCUUAACUCCCAGCCUGCACUGGAAACUGGCUUGCUAGAGUCCGGAAGAGGAGACUGGAAUUCCUGGUGUAGCGGUGAAAUGCGCAGAUAUCAGGAAGAACACCUGUGGCGAAGGCGGGUCUCUGGGACGGUACUGACGAUGAGACGCGAAAGAGUGGGGAGCAAACAGG